AGAGUUUGAUCCUGGCUCAGAAUCAACGCUGGCGGCGUGCCUAACACAUGCAAGUCGAACGAGAAAGGGGAGCAAUCCCCAAGUAAAGUGGCGACCGGGUGAGUAACACGUGACUAACCUACCCUCGAGUGUGAAAUAACAUCGGGAAACCGAUGCUAAUACCGCAUAACAUCGCAAGACCAAAGGAGCAAUCCGCUUGAGGAGGGGGUCGCGGGCUGAUUAGCUAGUUGGCGGGGUAACGGCCCACCAAGGCGAAGAUCGGUAGCCGGCCUGAGAGGGCGCACGGCCACACUGGAACUGAAACACGGUCCAGACUCCUACGGGAGGCAGCAGUGGGGAAUUUUGCGCAAUGGGGGAAACCCUGACGCAGCAACGCCGCGUGGAGGAUGAAGCCCCUUGGGGCGUAAACUCCUUUCGACCAAGACGAUAAUGACGG
rnacentral:rRNA from 1 species